AAACCUUCAAGCUCUGCUUGGUGUUGGGUGUUUGUUCCGCCUCUGUGCGUGGACUCGCCUCAAAUUCAUUGGCAGCCGGCAAGUUGGCUUCGUGCGCAGCACAUUGCGUUGCGACUCCAGCCUGCCUCCUCCCAGCAAGCCAUUCUAUCA
rnacentral:misc_RNA from 1 species